rnacentral:lncRNA from 1 species
UAUGUAGGAGUUAAUUAGUGCAAUUAUGCGCAAAUAUUUUUUCCAUGCAUUUAAUAAUUGUUUUGAGCUAAAUGACCCUGAAAUUGAAAAACACUAUAAAUGAACUCUGAAAACGCUCAAACUUGGCAUGGUAUCAUCAUUCCCAUAUAGCAUGUGUUAAAAAGUUGAGAGGCUUACGACAAAAACUGGAUGACUUCGUGUACAAACUGGACAAUCUCUUUCGAAGUAUGAGGGUUUCGGACGGAAACUCAUGUGUUCCAAAGGCAUUUCAUUUUUAGACCUUUUUUUAACUCCAGACUUUUUGUGCGUUCAAUAUGCACCUUUGAGAGCAUGCCAUCAAUUUUCAACCCUUUCUAACUUCAUUUGCUAUUUUUCAUCCAUUCAAUGAUUUUUGGAGCUAUGAAACUAAAAGAGUUAAACAAAAUCUGUUUUUGGUUAAAACACCCAUUUAAAAUAACC